UAAUAAUUAUUUUUAAAAAAAUAUUUUUAGUAACUAUAUUUAUUAAAAUUUAUUAUAAUUUGAUUAAUAAAUAAUUAUACUUACUAAAAUGUAUUGUAAUUAAAUUAAUAAGUAACAUAUAUUUAUGAAUAUUAUAAUAACUAACAAUUAACUAUCACCAUCAUAAAUAAUAAACUAAUAUUAUAUAUUACAUCAAAAAUAAAUUAUAUAAAUAACACUGCUCAAAUAUCAAAUGCAUUACAUUAAAACUAAAAAAAAA
rnacentral:lncRNA from 1 species